GAUGAACGCUGGCGGCGUGCCUAAUACAUGCAAGUCGAGCGAACGGACGAGAAGCUUGCUUCUCUGAUGUUAGCGGCGGACGGGUGAGUAACACGUGGGUAACCUACCUAUAAGACUGGGAUAACUUCGGGAAACCGUAGCUAAUACCGGUUAAUAUUUUGAACCGCAUGGUUCAAAAGUUAAAGACGGUCUUGCUGUCACUUAUAGAUGGAUCCGCGCUGCAUUAGCUAGUUGGUAAGGUAACGGCUUACCAAGGCAACGAUGCAUAGCCGACCUGAGAGGGUGAUCGGCCACACUGGAACUGAGACACGGUCCAGACUCCUACGGGAGGCAGCAGUAGGGAAUCUUCCGCAAUGGGCGAAAGCCUGACGGAGCAACGCCGCGUGAGUGAUGAAGGUCUUCGGAUCGUAAAACUCUGUUAUUAGGGAAGAACAUAUGUGUAAGUAACUGUGCACAUCUUGACGGUACCUAAUCAGAAAGCCACGGCUAACUACGUG
rnacentral:rRNA from 1 species